GGAUUUUCCAAGAGAAAAUGCACGACUUUCUGGUUAAAUGGUGGAUUCUCAAAGAGAAGAUGUGUGAUUUUGGUUUACAUGUGAGCUUUUUGUUGAGGAAAUGCGUGAUUUUCAGGUUAAAUGGGGGAUUCUUGUAGCGAAAGCGUUUGAUUUGGGGGUGAAAUGAGGGAUUUUUGAAGAGAAAAUGAGUGAUUUUCAAGUUAAAAGGGUGAUUUUCCAAGAGAAAAUGCGUGAUUUUGGGGUUUAAUGGGGGAUUCUCGAAGAGAAAAUGCAGGAUUUUUGGGUUAAUGGGGUAAUUUUUGAAGGAAAAUGUAUGAUGAUGGGGUGAAAUGGGAGAUUUCCGAAGAGAAAUUGCGUUUUUAUCAGGUUAAAUGGGGGAUUCUCGAAGAGAAAAUUCACGACUUUUGGUUAAAUGGGGGAUUUUUGUGGUAAAAAUGCGUGGCUGUCAGGUUAAGUGGGGAUUCUCGAAGAGAAAAUGCCUGAUUUCUGGGUUGAAUGUUUGUUUUUUUUUUUCUUUAGAGAAAAGUGGUGAUUUUUGAUUGUGUAUUUUUCCAAGAGAAAAUGCAUGGUUUUUCCAUUAAACGGGGGAUUUUUUGAAAAGAAAAUGCGUGACUUUCGGGUUAGAUCAGGGAUUCUUGAAGAGAAAAUGCAUCAUUUUUGGGUGACAUGGGGGAUUUCCGAAGAGAAAUGGCGUUUUUUCGGGUUAAGUGGGGGUUUUUGAAGAGAAAAUGCAUGAUCUUCGUUUACACGUGAGAUUGAUGUAGAGGAAAUGCGUGAUUUUUGGGUUCAAAGGGGGAUUCUCGUAGCGAAAAUGUUUGCUUUGGGGCUCAACUGGGGGACUUUUGAAGAGAAAAAGCGUGAUUUUCAGGUUAAAUGGGGGAUUUUCCAAGAGAAAAUGUGUGAUUUUAGGGUUAAGGGGGUAUUUUUCCGAAGAGAAAAUGCAUGAUUUGGGGGUAAAUGGGGGAUUUCCGAAGAGAAAAUGCAUGAUUUGGGGGUUAAAUGGGGGAUUUUCCAUGAGAAACUGCGUGAUCUUCGAGUUGAAAGGGGGAUUUUCCAAGAGAAAAUGCCUGAUUUGGGGGUUAAAUGGGGUAUUUUCGAAGAGAUAAUGCAUGAUUUGGGGGUAAAUGGGGGAUAUCCCAAGAGAAAAUGUAGGUUUUGGGGGUUAAAGGGGGGAUUUCCAAGAGAAAAUGCAAGACUUUCUGGUUUAAUGGUGGAUUUUCGAAGAGAAGAUGUGUGAUUUUGGUUUACAUGUGAGCUUUUUGUUGAGGAAAUGCGUGAUUUUCAGGUUAAAUGGGGGAUUCUUGUAGCGAAAGCGUUUGAUUUGGGGGUGAAAUGAGGGAUUUUUGAAGAGAAAAUGAGUGAUUUUCAAGUUAAAAGGGUGAUUUUCCAAGAGAAAAUGCGUGAUUUUGGGGUUUAAUGGGGUAUUUUUGGAGAGAUAAUGCUAAUUCCCUCAAAGUUUCCACAAACAGCCCUUAACACCGUGUAGUGAUAUUGUUCAGUUAUAAGCACUUGGAAACAGAUCUCACAGAAGCCCGUCCACCUUCCUUUACACACUUCCCCGCAAUCAGAACACAGUACUACAUAAAUGGGCUGACACUCACUCCCUGAAUGGAACACAUCUCACUCACAGCACACUCACUCUGACAUUUAGAACAAAAACCAUGGUUUAUACAUCAUACACAGUGCUGACGAUGUCCUUUAGCUGGAAUCAUAAUAACACUAGUACAUUAGUCGAUCAGUUGCAAGCUUUAAGAUUUUUCCGACAGUCAGCAUUACCUGAAAUCAUAGAAUCAUAGAAUCAUAGAAUCGCUAAGGUUGGAAAAGACCCACAGGAUCAUCCAGUCCAACCAUCCGCCCUUCAUCAAUGGUUCUCGCUAAACCAUGUCCCUCAACACAACAUCCAAACGCUCUUUAAACACCACCAGGCUCGGUGACUCCACUACCUCUCUGGGCAGUCCAUUCCAGUGCCUGACCACCCUUUCAGAGAAGUAGUAUUUCCUAACAUCCAGCCUGAACCUUCCCUGACGCAGCUUGAAGCCAUUCCCUCUUGUCCUAUCACUAGUCACCCGGGAGAAGAGGCUGACCCCCAGCUCACCACAACCUCCCUUCAGGUAGUUAUAGAGAGCAAUAAGGUCUCCCCUGAGCCUCCUCUUCUCUAGACUGAACAACCACAGCUCCUUCAGCCACUCUUCAUAAGGUCUGUGCUCCAGACCUUUCACCAGCUUUGUUGCCCUCCUCUGGACACGCUCCAGGGCCUCGAUGUCUUUCUUACAGUGAGGCGCCAAAAACUGGACACAGUACUCGAGGUGCAGCCUCACCAGUGCUGAGUACAGGGGAAUAAUUACUUCCCUGUUCCUGCUGGCCACACUAUUUCUGAUACAAGCCAGGAUGCCAUUGGCCUUCUUGGCCACCUGGGCACACUGCUGGCUCAUGUUCAGUCUAGUGUCAAUCAACACCCCCAGGUCCAUUUCCUCUACACAGUCUUCCAGCCACUCUGCCCCAAGCCUGUAGCAUUGCCUGGGGUUAUUGCAGCCAAAGUGCAGGACCCGGCAUUUGGUCUUGUUGAAUCCCAUCCCCUUGGCUUCAGCCCAGCUAUCCAACCUAUCCAGACCCCACUGUAAGGCCUCGUUACCCUCAGGCAGAUCAACACUUCCAGCUAGCUUGGUGUCAUCUGCAAACUUACCGAGGGUGCACUCAAUACCCUCAUCCAGGUCAUCAAUAAAGAUAUUAAAGAGGACAGGCCCCAGCACCGACCCCUGGGGAACACCACUCGUGAAUGAUUAGAUACACGGUACCAAACACUCAGCAGAUGGUGAUAACAAUAAUACAACCUAUAACUCCCACUACUAUCUCCAGGAGAAUCCAUGCUAUCAUUUGACAAAAUCCCCGCUGCUACCAAUCACCUAAGGGAGAGCUGUUGCUCUUUCCUUGCGUAUGACUUACAGGUCCCCUUCGUAGGAACUCCCCAAGGAGUCUUCCUACCCCAGCCGGAAACCUAACCUGUGAGCUCACGUACCUCGGGGGGGGAGGAACAGGCAUGCUCCUUCAUACCCUGCGUAGGACGUCUCCUUAUGCCUUACGGGUUCCCCCUUUUCUAUACACAUACCUGGUCCACCUAUGGAUGGUCCUUGCCUGUCCCCACAGUGAUCGGGUGAGGAAGGGAGUCCUUCCAAGAAAUCUUGGGGCAUGCCAAAG
ensembl:lncRNA